rnacentral:rRNA from 1 species
ACGGGAGGCAGCAGUGGGGGAUAUUGCACAAUGGAGGAAACUCUGAUGCAGCCACGCCGCGUUAGGGAAGAAGGUUUUCGGAUUGUAAACCUCUGUUUUCGGUGAAGAAAAAAAUGACGGUAGCCGAAGAGGAAGCCACGGCUAACUACGUGCCAGCAGCCGCGGUAAUACGUAGGUGGCAAGCUUUGUCCGGAAUUACUGGGUGUAAAGGGUGCGCAGGCGGGACUGCAAGUUAGAUGUGAAAUACCGAGGCUUAACCUCGGAGCUGCAUCAAAUACUGUGGUGCUUGAGUGGAGUAGAGGGAAGCGGAAUUCCGAGUGUAGCGGUGAAAUGCGUAGAUAUUCGGAGGAACACCAGUGGCGAAGGCGGCUUACUGGGCUCUAACUGACGCUGAGGAACGAAAGUGUGGGUAGCAAACAGGAUUAGAUACCCUGGUA